CUGAGCCUGCGCAUCCGGAGCCUGUGCUCCGCAACGGGAGAGGCCACAGCAGUGAGAGGCCCGCGUACCGCAAAAAAAAAAGCAUAACCUUGUUGAAGAAUUCUUUGUUGUCCCUCGAUAUCUGCAAGGGAUUGGUUCCAGGACCACCUCGAAGAUACCAAAAUCCGACGAUACUGGAGUUUCGUAUGGCAUACUAGAGUCGGCUUUAUGUAUCAACAGUUUCUUCAUCUCAUGGAUGCAGAGAGUCAACCAUAUUUUUAUCCUCAGCAAGUAAUUGAGAACUUUGGUUGAAAAGACUGCGAAGAAAGACAGCGUUCCUCCCCUUAAGGAAAAAACUUGUCUACUGAUGUAUGUGGUUAAGAUUUAGCCAGAAGAAAUAAUUUCAGUUCCAGAAUUUUCCUUCAUGAAUUAUGGACUGACUACCUCUAUACUCUUGAAUAAGGUACAAAAUUCACCUUGAUAUUCUCCUGAAAAAGUUAGAAAUUUAAAAAGGUAAAUAUUUUUUCUAACCAGUUUAGCCCAAUUUGAUUAGGAAAUGUUCAUCUCUGCCAAUUCAUUAUUUUUUUUAUCAAAGCUUUUAGUAGCAUUAAUUUUUCGUAUUAGCUAUUUGGAUGUCGUAUAUUGCUAAUAAGUUUGUUUCUGUCUCUCCUCUUCUGAGAAGGCAGUGGCGCCUUUGAAUUUGUGCAUCUAUACAGCGUCUCACUUUCAGGUAUUCCCAAGGGUGUCCCAUAAAGGGAAAUCUGAUGCAUGGUAUGAUAACAAAAGUGCUUCACUGAAGUUUGAAGCCUGUUUAUGCUGGAGGAAGAAAUGGGAUAUGAGUUGAAUAAAAGAGGGUGUGAAAGCCAAAGUAUUUCCCACUUUGUUGUUUUUAUGAUUGAGCCCCCCAGUUCCCACAGUGACUUUCUAGACCUUACAAAUCAAUGUAUUUUUAAAAUGACUCUCUUUUUGCAAUACAUCAAAAGACUUCUUGACGUAUCUAUUCCCAAUUCCCAGAUUAUUCUAAAUACUACUUCAGAAAAUAACCCCUUGUCCCAUAAACUGCCAUUUUUUAACCACAAUCAUUUUGACACGUUUAUAGCCAAAAUGCUAUUUCCAUCCCUUCAUAUACUGACAAAAAUGUGCACAGCUCGUCAGAGGGAUUAACAAAAUAGAGAUGGUGUGGGAAAAAGAGAGCAUAGAGUUUAGUUACAUUAUUUUUUUUCUUUUGACAGAAAAAUGUAGCAAGUAUGAAUGCCCAUUGAAUAAUUACAUAUUUCCUUCUACAGUCUUAUCACAGCAUAAAGUUAUGUGGGAAUUUUGUAGCUCCCCAUCAAUUAUAAAAUACCAAAGCACUAGUCAGUUGACUACAUGGAGCAAUUAUCGUUCUAAUAAAUCCAACAAAUUUGUUCUUACAUACCAAGAAGACAUACCUCCAAUAAUAUAUGUGUGUAUACAUGUUUCAUACAAAAAAAGAUAUAUCUGAGGCCAUUCCAUAACUUCACUUUAUAAGAUUCUAAAGAUAUAAGAAUAAAUUAGUUUACGAUUACUAUUUCAUCUUUGAAAAUAAUAUAUUUGUAGUAAAUUGAAUUUUCCACUAAACAUUCCAUACUUCCCCCUUCCCACAAAAAAGAUAAUGCAGUCAUCAUAAUAUGCUAAUAUCAUACCGAACAUUUAAAGGCUAAUAAUCAUAACUUUUGUUAAUGAUGUUAUUGAAAAGACCAAAUAAUUUCUAAAUUAUUUCAUUAAAUAAACAAAACAUUUGAGGUUCACUUAUCAAAACUAGUCUCAAGAUGUAACUCUGAGGUUACUGUUUCUGAUUUCAUAACAUGAAGGCAGCUCAUCAUGUCACAAUUUACAUAGUCUUAACAACGUACGGGUUUUCACCAUUUAUAGUGAACUCUUUAGUAACUCUGAGACAUUUCUCUGGUCAAAUUAUUAACAGCAAUAAAAAUUUAAAAACAGAGCUGUUGGUGAUAGAUUAUGCUUCCUAAGAUGGUCCCUUGCUUGCUUCCAGUGUGACCUUGACACCCCCCCAUCAAGGGAUGAAGACUAUUUUCUACACCCUUUAAACUGCGUGGACACUGUGACUGCUUUGACCGGUAUACUGAGGCAAAAGUGACAUUCUGGGAACUCUGGGCCUAGGUCUAAAAAGUACCGGCAGCUUCUAUUCCCGGCCUCUUAGAAUGCUCCCUCCAAGGACACUCGCUCUCAGGACUCAGCCGCCAUGUUGUGAGAAAACCAAGUCACGUGGAGGGGCCGCGUAGCCGUGGGCAUUUCCGUCAACAGCCCGCGCCGCUGAGUUCCGCGCACAGACUGUACGCGGCAGCGCGCCGGCCUGUGCGUGAGUCUAAAUAGCCGGCCCAGUCCAACCUUCAGAGGCUCCAGCCUCAGCUUCCAACUGACUGAAACCCAGGAGACACCAAGUGAGAACCACCCAGGUAAACUCAGUCAACACGUAGAACCGUGAGAUAAUAAUAAGCUGCUGUUUUUAGCCGUUAACUGUUUGGAGUAGGUUGCUAUGCAGCAAUAUAUAACCAGGACUUAAUAUGACUGCCGCUUUACUCGUCCUGUAACACACCUCUUUCUUGCUCGGUCUGUUAGGUGAAGAAACGGAAAAAGUCAAUGAGGAAAUAAAACAUGACGUAGACAUUAGAGAAUAGGAUAGUUCAUGUUUAACUUUAUUGUGGGUCCUAUAACAAAGCUUUUCUUUGAGAAUUUUAUCAUAACUAUACUGAAGAAUUGUGUUAAACAUUAAAUUUAAUCUACACUCUAUGUACUUCACUUUUUUCAAAGUCAUCCACUUUCUUUGAGAAGCUGAAGGUUGUCUUAUGAUUCAAAGUCUUUUCUACUAUUUCAAAUAACCGUUUAGAUAGGGUUAUUGAGGAAAAGUUGCCACCAGAGAAGGCAUAUGAUUUCUGGUCUUCCCUCAUUGCUAUGUGUUGUUCAUAGAAUAGAAAGGAGGAAAAGAAACCUCGGUGCAUUGAGGUCUCCCCAGCCUUAUAUUUAUAGCGGCAACUAGAGGUGAUACUAUGUGAAUAGCAUCUUCUCAUCACCUCGUGGCAGCCCCUUCCUAUGAUAGCAGUGGCUCGCUAAUGAUGGUCAUUAUGAGAAGGGCUGCAGUUCACACCUGCAAGCAAUCUGAGAUGUUUACCUCGUCUGUCACGGAGGCCAUUUCUUGAUAUUAAAGCUACAAAGAGCUCCUCCUGUAGCCAAUUCUAAUAGUGCAUCCUUAGAACAAUAGCAUUUUUAAAAACUGUGGCCACAUUAGGGUCACCUGGCACUCUUAACUAUCCCAGUUCUAAGUGUGUAUCCUUGACCAGUUAAAUGUGAAUCUCUGGAGGCAGAAGCCAGAUACUAGUAUUUUUUAAAGCUCCCCAGGUGAUUUUAAUGAGAAGCCAAGGCUGCGAACCACUACUCUAGAACAGUCUUAGUUCUGUGAAUAGCUUGCCUGCUCAGCAUCACCCUUUUAGUAGCAUAACUAGAUAGUAUCUACUCACAGAUUUCUUAUUGGGCCACCGAGGAGCAGCUGUGGGCUGGCACACUUUCUUCCCAGAUCUUAGUAAACUCUCCAUAAGGUUAAACUCGUCUCAUAUCUGGCAAUAUGAUGAGCUCUGGGAAAGCAAAAACUAGUUAUAUUUGACCCCUGGUCUUCAGGAGAUUAAGGUCCAGUCGCAGGGAGGUGGGAAAGGCAGGAAUGGAAUAAACAUAAAAAUAAGUCAUUCAAAUAUAAUGUGCCUCAUAUAUUAAUAGAGCAGUACUGCAGGAGCAUCAGGAAAGGAUACUUCAAGAGAGUUUGUGGAGGCUCAGUCAAGCAGAGGGAAGUGCAUGCACAGAGGCCCAAAUGAAAGUCAGGCAGAAGACAGGACAGGUCUGUUUUGAUAAGGCCAUGGAUUUGGGGGUGAUGCGGAGAGAGUUUGGGGGUCGUGGAGAAAGUUAACAGUGUUACAUUUCCAUUUUUUCCUCUACUGUUAUUUUUAAGAAAGUAGUAUGUGUUAUAGUAUAAAAAUAAGAAAAUAGACAUAAGCAGAAACUCAAAUAGUCAAUAGAUACAUGAAAGGAAGCUCAGUCUGAAGAAAAUGAAAAGUUAAACCUCAAUGAGACACCAUUUCAUACCCAUCAGAUUGGCAAACAAUGUGGCAAUAAUAAGAACCAGAAAGGUUGUGGAGCCGUGGGAACUCUUCUAUGCUAUCAGAAUGUAAAUAGGUAUACGAAUUUUGGAGGGAAAUUUGACAAUACCUGAUAGAGUUGAAGAUACAUAAUAAAACCCAGAACCCAGAAAUUCCAUUCCUAGGCAUGCAUUCUAGAGAAACUCUUACAAAAGAACGCAAGGAAACGUAUAUGAGAAUGUUUCUAAUAGUAUUAUUUGUAAAAGUAAAAAGUUAGUAAAAAGCCUAUCAAGGGAGGACAGAUGAAUAAAGUGUAGUGUAUUCAUCUACUGCACAGAAGUGAAGUAAACUAGAGCUAUAAGUAUCAACAGGAAUAAAUCUACCAAGCAAGAUGUUAAGAGAGAAAAGCAAGUUGCAAAAAAUAUAUGUAUAUCAUAUGAUAUCAGUUAUCAAUAAAGCGAAAUACUAUUAUAUUUUGAUUUGGCGACUCAUACAAUCUAGUGAAAUAAAUAUAGGCACAGAAAUAAACAUGAAAUUCAGUAUAUUGGUAACAAGGAGAGAUAGGAGAAUGGAUGGCACAGUGAGUAAGGGUGUAUGAUCAGAGAAGAUUCCACAGAGGACUUACAAGUAUAUUUGUUAUGUUAAUUUCUUAGCUUAAUGAAAGGGACACAUGCAAUUUUAUUUAUUUUUUUAUUGAUGUAUAGUUCAUUACAAUAUUG